rnacentral:rRNA from 1 species
AUCGAACGCUGGCGGCAGGCCUAACACAUGCAAGUCGAACGAACCUUUCGGGGUUAGUGGCGGACGGGUGAGUAACACGUGGGAACGUGCCUUUAGGUUCGGAAUAACUCAGGGAAACAUGUGCUAAUACCGAAUGUGCCCUUCGGGGGAAAGAUUUAUCGCCUUUAGAGCGGCCCGCGUCUGAUUAGCUAGUUGGUUGAGGUAAUGGCUCACCAAGGCGACGAUCAGUAGCUGGUCUGAGAGGAUGAUCAGCCACAUUGGGACUGAGACACGGCCCAAACUCCUACGGGAGGCAGCAGUGGGGAAUCUUGCGCAAUGGGCGAAAGCCUGACGCAGCCAUGCCGCGUGAAUGAUGAAGGUCUUAGGAUUGUAAAAUUCUUUAACCGGGGACGAUAAUGACGGUACCCGGAGAAGAAGCCCCGGCUAACUUCGUG